AGUGAACGCUGGCGGUAGGCCUAACACAUGCAUGUCGAACGGCAGCACAGUAAGAGCUUGCUCUUACGGGUGGCGAGUGGCGGACGGGUGAGGAAUACAUCGGAAUCUACUUUUUCGUGGGGGAUAACGUAGGGAAACUUACGCUAAUACCGCAUACGACCUACGGGUGAAAGCAGGGGAUCUUCGGACCUUGCGCGAUUGAAUGAGCCGAUGUCGGAUUAGCUAGUUGGCGGGGUAAAGGCCCACCAAGGCGACGAUCCGUAGCUGGUCUGAGGGGAUGAUCAGCCACACUGGAACUGAGACACGGUCCAGACUCCUACGGGAGGCAGCAGUGGGGAAUAUUGGACAAUGGGCGCAAGCCUGAUCCAGCCAUACCGCGUGGGUGAAGAAGGCCUUCGGGUUGUAAAGCCCUUUUGUUGGGAAAGAAAAGCAGCAGGUUAAUACCCCGCUGUUCUGACGGUACCCAAAGAAUAAGCACCGGCUAACUUCGUG
rnacentral:rRNA from 1 species